CAUUAGAUGGCUGAAAAACAAGCACUGGUCUCUUAAACCAUAUUAUAGUAGAAUAGUACCUACUUCUAAUG
rnacentral:tRNA from 1 species